AUUGUAAAUUCAAGGCUGUAGCAGAAGUGCCCAUAGCGCGGCCUGUCAGAUUCCAACGAAUCUGCAAAUUCUGCU
rnacentral:ribozyme from 1 species